rnacentral:rRNA from 1 species
UACGGAGGGUGCGAGCGUUGUUCGGAUUUAUUGGGCGUAAAGCGCGUGUAGGCGGCUUCUUAAGUCUGAUGUGAAAGCCCUGGGCUCAACCCGGGAAGUGCAUUGGAAACUGGGAAACUUGAAUACGGGAGAGGGUAGUGGAAUUCCUAGUGUAGGAGUGAAAUCCGUAGAUAUUAGGAGGAACACCGGUGGCGAAGGCGGCUGCCUGGACCGAUAUUGACGCUGAGACGCGAAAGCGUGGGUAGCAAACAGG